AGAGUUUGAUCAUGGCUCAGGAUUAACGCUGGCGGUAUGCCUAACACAUGCAAGUCGAACGGAAUACUAAUUAAGAGAAUCUCACACUAGUGAGAGGUUCUCACGAGUAGUAUUUAGUGGCGGACGGGUGAGUACACGUUGGAACCUGCCCCGAAGUGGGGAAUAACUGCUCGAAAGAGUAGCUAAUACCCCAUAGUAUCCGGUUUAUCCGGAUUAAAGAUUUAUCGCUUCGGGAGGGGCCUGCGUCUGAUUAGCUAGUUGGUGAGGUAAAAGCUCACCAAGGCGACGAUCAGUAGCUGGUUCGAGAGGAUGACCAGCCACACUGGGACUGAGAUACGGCCCAGACUCCUACGGGAGGCAGCAGUGAGGAAUCUUCCACAAUGGGCGCAAGCCUGAUGGAGCAAUACCGCGUGCAGGAAGACGCUUUUCGGAGUGUAAACUGCUUUUGUCGUCGAAGAUUAUGACUGUAGACGAAGAAUAAGGACCGGCUAACUACGUG
rnacentral:rRNA from 1 species